GAAGAGGAAAGUGGGCGAUGGGUGGGCAGCAAGCCAUCACAGCUUGCUUUGUAUUCCAUCUCACUCUUGUCGCUCGUUCUUUCCCUCCACCUGUCUGUGCUACCAUGCUCAGCUAUUUGUGCUGAAUCUCUUCCUUUUCUUUUCUCAUCUUUUUGUCAUGGACAGCAUGCUUGUAUAUUUAAUUUCUCAAAUCUUUCAUUCGCUCAUAAUUUCUGUCAUGUUUGAGAGUUGACGUGGACACACACACAUUGCAUGUUCUCUGUUUGUAUAGAGCUGAUAAUAGCUAAACUCUUUUGUAUGCUGAGGGUCUGCUAUCAGAUAUAAAAUGCAUGAGGGCUUGCGUGCACCUCCUGUUGUGCCACUACCAUCAGAUGGUUGAGAAUCCCUUGCUGAACCAAAUGCUUUGGAGUAAAGGGGAAAAAAGCAGCACAUGUCUGUGUGGAAGUGGUUGUUGAAUGUCUCAGCUAACAAUUUCAAGUUUUCAAAAUUACAGAUCUAGUAACUUUUGGUUCAAAUAACAUUCAAUCUAUUCGGUUUGUUCAUAGAAGAUUCUGAAUAUCUGCCGUAAUAAUGAGUUGCUUCAAAUUGUUGCUCACACAAUGUUUUAUAUUAGACAAACACUAAUAUUAAUGAACUAAUAUUAACUAGCUAAAAUUAUUAACUAAUGUUGUUGUCAAUGUUUCUGUAACUAAAAGGUGGCUUAGUGGUUAGCAUGUUUACUUGAUUAACACCUCUGCUCUGUGUGCAUGGAGUAUUCAUGUUCUCUUUGUGCUUUGGAGGUUUCCUCAAUAUUCUUCAGUUUCCUUCCCCAGUCCAAAGACAUGCAUUGUAGGCUGAUAGGCAUCUCUAAAUUGCCCAAUGGGUAUGUGAGUGUGUGUUUGUGCCCCAUGAUGGGUUGGACUCUGUCCAGGAUGUCCCCUGUGUGGUGCCGCGAGUUCCCAGGGAUAGGCUCCCUGUGACCCUCUGUAGGAUAAGCAGUAUGGAACAUGGAUGUUUUUAGAACAUUACAGGAACAUUAUUGUUUGGAACCUCAUAGCCUAACCUCUUCAAAAACCAAUGAAUACUUACCAGAUAUUUGAAUGAUGUUCUCUGUUAGCUGGGGCUCAUAAUAACGACCAUUCCGUCACCAAUUUGAUUGUAUAGUACGAUUAUGGUGUUAAAAGAGCCAGUAACUUUCUAACUUUGUAGCCCACAGUAAAAUACAGCCAUGUUAAAUACUAUAACACAUUGAGGCUGCUUUGAAUUCAGUUAAUCUUUCACCUUGAUCCCAUUGCUGGCAUCUCAUUAUCAACUCCUUGGUCAAGGAAGUGCACAGUUCAAAGAACAAUUACCUGAGAAAGUAAACAAACACAGUGGGGCAACACACAGGAGGUGGUGUAAUCCCCUGUGUGCAUGUGUGUCUGUGUAUAGUAGUAUAAAGUUACAACCCUAGGGCUGCACUUUUGGAGGCAGAGAGAUUGAACCCUUAAUGAAGAGCCAGGUGUUGGAGUAAUGAGUCUUAGUUCAGUAUUAAGGUCAGUUCGUUGUCCUUUCACAUACGGAUCAUACAGCGGUCUAAUGGGUGCAUCCCGAGAGUUUACGGAUGACCUCUGACACAUAUAUGUGAGUAAAGAGCCCAGUGGGACUGGAUACUACCAGACACACAGCUCGAAGGAUAUGGGGUCAUGUAGAGAACAAGAGUUAAGGACUUCCUGAGAGGAAAUGAAGUGGUCAUGAUGGAUCUGGAGCCUAUCCCAGGAACACUGAGUGUGAGGCAGUAAUGCAUACUUGAUGGGAUGCCAGUACAUCACAGGACACCAUGCACAGACACAGUUGCACAUUUAUUCACACUUUGGGGCAAUUUAGCACAGCCAGUCCACAUACAUCCAUGAUUUGGGAGAAGUCUGAUGGUGUAUACACUUGUGUGUGUGGGUGUCUGAUACUGCAGGGUGGAGUGGUAGGGGCUGAAAGAUUCCAAGGUCAGGUCAGGAGGUCAAGGCUAUGUGUGAGAUCUGCUCCUGUAGUACCUGGGCUGCACUCUCCUCCUUCACUGUCCUGCAUCAUGGCGGUCUGUGAUCGGUGCAUUCAUACAUACAGCGACUCGCAGUGACAAAGCGACUGGGGACCAUUCAUUUUCAGUGAGAGCUGGCGACUUCCGGCGACAUGAGUGACAGCGACAAUUAGCGACUAGAUGUGAAUGUGUCCAGCGACUUUGAAAGAAGUUUGAGAAAAGACUUGAGAAAAGUUUAACUUUAUGCAAAUUUGGAGUGACGGUGUAACUACUGUUGCUGUCUUUGCACUCAAGCAAUGUGUAUGUACAAAAAAUGAAGAGAAAAAGGGCCAGAAAGAGAGUAGCCUGAGUCGACCACUCUCCCAUCCCCAGUAUCCUCGUCUGAAUGGCUCAGUGUCCUGGUCCUCACCCCAGCUCAGGACCUGACAACUCCCUUAUUGAUGCUUAUCCAAGUCUACAGUGAUCACAUCAACAAGCUGUUCCUCCAUGCAUUCCUCCGUACACGUGAAUAAAGUCCCAUCUAACUGUAUUCGGAGAACACAGUAAAACAGUACAAAUGUAAAAUAUCUACAUUAAUUAAUUCAUUGAAGGCAGAUGUCAAAAUUCUCUGUAAAAUGUAUUAUUCUUUUGGUCUCAUAAAUUUGUAACCUUUUUCAGGAACAGUUAAAGGUUAGGGACGGGGUUAACAUUUGUACGUUUUUAGAUGAUUGCUUUGGAAUGAAAUUGAGUGAAAUCCAACCACAUUACCAUUACCAUUUACAUUUAUUCAUUUGGCAGAUGCUGUUAUCUAGAUUGACUUACAAAACAUCCAGUUAAGGCACAGUGAUAUAAGGACCUAGAGAAUCUGUAACGCUGCUUUCACAUCUAAAAUAUUAAUUCUUAGUCCGUAGGAUAUUCUUGAUUUUAGAAUAUUGUUGUAGAUCUCUCCAAUUGUAGUAUGUAAUCAUACAUUUUCAGAUAAUGUAUGUCAUUCAUAUUUAUGAGGCUGACCUAGGUGGGGAAAGGGUAGUGUGCAUGUGCCAGAUAGAGAGGGAGGGGAAAGGAAGGUCUCUGGAGGGAGAUAUGUGCAUACACAGAGCUGCUGCGGCAGCGCCAAGCCAGCAGACGCCGGUCGGAAGUUAGGGCGGAGCUAACCGGAAGCACAUCAGUUAUGGCGAGCAGCAGUUCCAGGCUGGCAGUGAGCAUCAUCACGUUUUGAAUUUUUCUUUCUGAAGUUCUUUGUAAAGCCAGUAUUUGUUAAAAUAUAUAUAACUGAAAUAAUAUAUUUUUUAUGCUAACAGUCAGCUAACAGUAAACAGCAAACAGUUUUCCAUCAAAUUAUUUGACUCAUAAGGUUUUUUUUUUUUUGGUUUUUUUUACAAAAGGUUCCACUCACCUUUGUUGAAUUAUGUGCUAUAUGUUUAAUACGCUAUAAAACAAUAUAUAUUAUAUAUUAUAUAUAUUUUCAAUUAAAGACAAAGAUUGAG